rnacentral:misc_RNA from 1 species
AUUAUUAUUAUUAUUAUUUUGUAUUAAAUUUUUGUGCCACCAAUUGACAAGUUUCAUAUUUUCAGUUAGGCUUUCAUUGUGGAAUCGGCAUGGCAUCAAAAACAGGAAUUUUAUUCCGGAGCGCUUUGUUAUAAUUACUGCAUUACCGCUGUUGCUACUUUUAUUUUUGCUUCCACUGAAUUAGCACAGAGGUGUGCUAUGCCACACACAACACAGCACCAAAGCAAAAAGGAACAGAAAGAAACCUAGUCCCAAAUGCCAACCUCCAUGAAACCAUCUUCAGUAGCACAUCCUCUGAACAUCCCAUUGGAGUUGAACCUACAAGUCACCUCCCCAUUUCUAGACACCGCUAUCAACCCUGCUUUUCCUUCAUCAAGCCUCUCCUUUAUCACAAAAUCCACUGCCUCUAGUAGCCCCAAACCUUUGUACUCCAUCACAGCCGCCACGUCUCUGGCUAGGGUCCCCCGGAUGAUGGCUUCGCCUUCUCCUGUGCAUGAAAUUCCACAAAGGUCACAAGCGUAGGUCCCAGCGCCAAUCAGG